rnacentral:rRNA from 1 species
AGUGACCGCUGGCGGCGUGCCUCAUACAUGCAAGUCGAACGGAGUGGCGCACGGUUUAGUAAUUUAUAGCUAAUCUGCCCUACACUAGAGGACAACAGUUGGAAACGGCCGCUAAUACUCUAUAGUGUAGGAUGAGGCUCUAUUGUAUCAGCUAGUUUGUGAGGUAAUGGCUCACCAAGGAUAUGACGCAUAACUGGUCUGAGAGGAUGUGCAGUCACACGGGAACUGAGACAAGGUACAGACUCCUACGGGAGGCAGCAGUAGGGAAUAUUGCUCAAUGGGGGAAACCCGGAAGCAGCAACGACGCGUGGAGGAUGAAACUUUUCGGAGCGUAAACUCCGUUUGUUAGGGAAGCGGUACCUAAAGAAUAAGCACCGGCUAACUCCGUGCCAGCAGCCGCGGUAAUUC